AGGGUCGUCUGGCUGGAGUCGGAGGAGAAGAUCUUCCCACUAUCGUCGUGGUCGCUCACUACGACUCGUUCGGUGUCGCUCCGUGGCUUUCGUACGGAGCCGACUCAAACGGCAGCGGGGUGUCGAUGUUACUCGAACUCGCUCGGCUCUUCUCAAAACUUUACACCUACAAGAGGACACACGCUGGGUACAAUCUGCUGUUCUUUGUAUCCGGUGGAGGGAAGUUUAACUACCAGGGCACCAAACGCUGGCUGGAAGAUAAUCUGGAUCACACAGGUACUGCUCAGCUCAAACUGUGAUUUACAGAAAUAA